rnacentral:misc_RNA from 1 species
CGCAUGAGCAAGAGGACCAUUAAUGUCCUCGAGUCAACACAAGGCACGUCAGGCUUCCGUAAGGGACAAUUGAUUCAGGCAAAAAGGGACAAAAUCCCCUACCGAUCAUUGCUUCUACAUACAAGACUUCGGGCAACACAUGGGCGUCCAAUGCCUGCUAGCUAAAUAAGCAAGCCAAGGGGGGACGUGCAUGGGUGAUUCAGGGUCUAGAUCGCACAAAAUAUUUGAGCACGAGAUAGAGAAGGGAUCAUGGGACUAGAGAAUUCCAUCAAAAUAGGUAUACUGCACAGGGGGCCAAGCCAAUCCAAGGUAAAAGGUUUACACUUGAACAAAAUUGAACAGGUGUGAACCAGCGAUUGUCGCUGCCAGGGCAGGGAACCAACCAACAGGAACAUACC